GCCCACCCUUCCAGCAGUUGCUCUAAAUGAGGCCUAGUCCUCCCUCAAAGCCUUUCUAUCACUACACCCAUGUUUAUGGUACAAGGCAUCUUUGGAUCCAACCCAUAGUUUCCACUGAUAUUAAGCACCUGUGGCAUUAAUAUAUCAGAGUGUGAGGAGGAGAUGUGGGGAUGCCCAUCCCCCCCUUUUGUGUAAAGAGUAGACUAGUUUCUGUGUUGAACUCAAAAUCUAUUGAUAGAAACCACCACUUACUUUUGUGGGGGAUAUGGAUAGGGUUACCCUGAAUUAAAGUAUGAAUUUUAACUAAGAACGUGGCAUUCUGAAAAGCCAGGACAAGUCCAGGGCCGCUCAGAAGACAGUUUUGAAUAUGGAUUGGAUAGAACUUGCUGGGCAACCUCCAGCCAAUCUCUCUAAUUCCUUGGCCUUUUAUGAAAAGGCUGAGAGACGUAGAGAGUCAAUACUGGGAUGAAGAUGACAGCCACGGUGCAAAGUCAAGAGAUGCAAAAUCUUCGCUAAGUAGAGACACCAGGACCAAAAUGAACAUAGCAAGAUGAAAUAGAGACCUUGAUGCUGUGUCCACUUGGCGAUUUAUACAGCACUGAGCCAUGGUAUUGUCUGUGAGGAUGAGGAUGUUGGAUCCUGUUAUCCAGUGAUGGAAGGCUUUCAAAGCUUGAAUACAGUGAUAAGUUCCAGAUGUAGAAGAGGAGGAUUGUGAAAAACCUGUAGACUUGGCUGUAGAAUGUUGUUUCUGGACUCUUCCCUAGGCAUUGUCAGUCUUCUGGACAAACAGCACUUCUCCAUCAAAGGGUUAUCAAGUUUCUUCCCCCAUUUGUCUCAAGUCUUAAACUGCUUCUCUACAGGAAAAAAGGAUCACCUGCCAGUUUGAAAACCACAUACUGCAGACCCCACCCCCACCCGAAGAGUAGCAUGUGAUUAAUGGAUUCCUUCUGUGUUUGUGUUCUGGAAGUGUAAAACAUUCUGGGCUGGAUCCAAAAGGUGCCCUUCUGCAUACAAGUAUCUCCCACUCAUGUCUAGACAUUACAUUGGUAUAGGUGUCUGUACGCAUGUACAUGUUUGUGUGUGAAUAACUGUACGUACAUUCUAUUAAAAAGUGAACCUGGACAGGCCCUCUCAAAUGCAGGAUUCAAAUAGGAAGUGAACUAUUGUAUAUGCACUGAAUGUCACAUGAACAAAUGAAAGUGCGUAUAAUGUACACAGAUUGUAUGCACAUUUGACAUUACCUGUGAGUAGUGCUGCAUGAGAAAUGUGACAUCCAAAAAGAUGUUCCUCCAUUUACAUAAGAGCUUGUGCUAGUGGAAGCAUGCUGACAGCUAAAGAACCUAUUAAACACUACAUGAACUCUUCCAUUUUCCUCUUGCACAAACAUUUGUGGAACAGCGCUAACUGCCGUUUCCCUUCUGCUCACAAUGCUUUGGAUCCAGCUCUGUCAUGUAAGCCACACAUGGUUUCCGGCCAAUACAGAACUUCCUUGGCAAAGAUGCUUAUUUGGAUUCUGUCAGAAUCCAGAUUAGUUUACUUUGAAGCCAAGACUGUACUUGGAACAAGCCAGGCUACAUUAUACUGGCACAUUAGUGCCAGUAGUUAUGAAAACUCAGUCAUCCAAAACUUUUUAGUUUAAGAUGAGAGUUAAGAUGCUUUCAAUUUUCACCCAUGCUCUAGAAAGUGUGGAAAUUGCAAGUUAAAGUGCCCAUCCUAAUUUCCAUGCCACGUAAGCUACAAAGACUUUCUAGUCUCAUAUUAUGCUGCUUUAGAAAGGCAUCCACCAGUGUUUCUUGUAACAGGGAUCACCAGGUGUUGUUGACUCUAACUUCCAUAAUUCCCAGCUGCAUGCCCUUUGGCCACUGUAGCUGGGGCAACAUUGUGACUGUUACAGGAAACAUUGACACCCACACUUUGCCUUGGUUUUUAAGCUCAUAACUGGGCACAAGUGAGAACAGAGCAUCUUAACUCAUCUUAAAUCAAAGGUUUUUGGAUGGCAAUCAUUCUUUACUCUCCACACUCUUGCAUCUUUGUGGGGAAAAUGAAACAAAAGGGACAAAAAGUGCCCAUCACAUAGGGCAACUCCCCGCCCCCGUAUCGCACAAGAGUGCAGUAACAGCAAACUAGCCUAUUGGUUUGUCAGAGCAGAUGUGUGCACAAUCAUGUGUGCUUGGUGUAGGCACACCUAGACACUUGGUCUAGGGCUGCCAACACUUUUCUCACAAAGCUCCUGUAGCUUUAAUUGGUCAUGCUCUCCACCCCUCCCCCAACUCAGUGCCAUUCUGCUGCUAGUAUAGCAGAUGGGCAAGGAGAUUUAUUUUUUUUUUUAAUUACAGACCUAAUCUCUUCUGGUUCAUAUUGCAGACAAGUUUCAGAAGUGUUGGGCACAAGUUGAAUACAUCUCCUCAAGGAAAUACUUCAAUUUUUAAUGCCAUUUCCAUAAGCCAAAGAUGGCCCCAAACCUAAGGUACACCGUGAACACAAAAGGGUCAUGCCCAAUGCACUGGGCAGAGGAAAGCAAAAUAAACGGGUUAAAACCCAAAACAAAUGCAAGUCACAGAAUAUUCUUCCUAAAGGCUCCAUCACUGUGUGCUCUCUCUCUGUGCACAUGCAUUAAAACCCCCAAACAACCCAACAAACCAGUAGGGUUGGAAGACACUGGGUUUAUGCCAUUCAAAUAGUGUGUCAAACCUAAGUUUGGGUCUGAUUGUCAGCUCUGGAAAGAAUCUAGAACCUACACAUACACAACCAAAAUGUUGAACUGCAUAGGUUGCAAAGCAGCAGCUCCAUUUACAGAAAACUCUGAUGAUUACACCUUCAGUCUGGAAACUACUUCUGGAAUUACAGCACCACCCAGUGGCAAGCCCACACCUGCACAAAUUGCUUUAAUAUAUGUUGCACCAGCACAAGACAAAGGGGUCAUGUUUGAACUCAAUAUGCCACAGAAAAGCUUUUACUGUGCUCCUCAGCAGAAACAUCUAUAUGAAAAUUUGACAGUCACACUGCUUCAAAUGGAUGACUGUUACAAUAGGAACAGUGGAUGCUGCCUUAUACAGAGUCAGACCAUUGAUUCAUCUAGCAGCAGCUCUUCAAAGUUAGACAGGGGUCUUUCCCUGCCCUACUUGGAGAUGCCAGGGAUUGGACCUGGGAUGUCCUGAAAGAAAAGCAGAUGCUCCACUCCAUCCCCUAAGGGGAAUCUCUUGCAAAGUAACAGAGGUCAUUCAUCUCUCUCCAGUCAUGCAACAUCUCUCCUUAAAUCCCUCAACUGGCUUCCUAUUCACUCCUAGAUCCUGCACGAGCUAGUACUUGCUCACAACUUACUGACCUCCCCAUUCCUAUAUCCAGACAUCUUAUCUGACUGACCUUCACUUACCCAUCUCCAUUAUCUUCAGCCAUGAAGAUGUGUUUUGCCCUCUCCAACACCAUCCUUUCUCCCUUGCUGCCCUAAGUGCCCUUUAUGCCUGGAACCUCAGAGGACACCUCCAUAAUACCAUCUCUCUUACUUACUUCAACUCCCUCCUCCAUACCUACUUUUUCCAUUAAAUCUUUGGUCUAAUGCUCAUCUUAAGUGGCGCAGCGGGGAAAUGCUUGACUAAAAAUGCUCACCUACAGAAAUGAGCUCCCUCCUGUAGUUAUUUCGAUCAGUCUUGCCUUGGGCAAGACACAGUCCAAAAUUUGGUGCCAAAAGUCAGCUUACGCAACCAUCAGGACAUGUGAUGGCUUUUGAAAUCAGUGCAGUGCACUUACUCAACAGACACAGGAUCACACUUUAUUAGUAUGUCACCACUGACUCACAUUUAGACAGAUGUGGAGCUGCAUCCUGGAAGUUCAUACUGAUGCCAGCUUUUAACAUGCCCAAAGUAGUCAGAUGGCAGUGCUUAAAACUCAUGCAUGGCAAGGCUGCUUGUCUUAUAGUUAAAAGAGAAGGACUGAAGUGAGGAAAUCUAGAGGGUCAUUUGUGCUGGAGUCAAGCAGCAAAACUGGAUCAGUUAGCGUAGUCUGAUUCUUGUGUGCAACUUCCCCCCGCUACCGUAAGACAUCAACUGAUACUGAGCAAUGUGACAUCUGGAAUGUGUCUCACCUCACCUAAUGCACCAUCUAUUCCCUUUGAGAAGACCUGCCACCACCCUGAAAAAUCUAUUUUGGAGUUGCAAGCUUAGCAGUUUUUUAUAAUGGGCUGUAAGAAUAAGUCUGCAGCAAGGAUGAAUUCAAUUCUAUUUAUGUUACUAAACCUCCAAUUAAUUUCCAUCCUGACAGCAAGGUGUAUGCAACUACUGUUUUUGUACUUACAUUUCACUCAUUAAAUGCUGAUUCACCUAAAACUGAAAUAAGCAUGUGCAUAUUCAACUCCAGAGAAGGCUGCUGAGGAAUUUAAACCACAAAGGGAUGAAUCUAGCUGGUUCAAUUGAUUUUAGUGCUUUCACAGAUACCCCAUUAACAGGUGGCUAAAUGUAAGUUAAUCUCAUCUGGAACUGAAUUUAUAGUAUACAGCAUUCUAGUAUCAUAUUUUAGUCUGAAUUGUACUCGAAGCAUACAAAGAUGCAGAGAGAUCAGUGUUUAAGGAAUUUUUAUUAAAGCAAGAAUUUUAUAAUCCAAAUUAUGGUUUUUUUGCUCAGCUAUCAAUUCCUACUGUUAACUACAACAGUAGUGAUAUUCUGAGCUUUUCCAAAGUUACAAAAUUAAAGAAAGGAAUGCUUUAAAUUUUUGUACGGUGCUGAAAAUUAUUUCCAGGGUUUAUAAAACA